rnacentral:rRNA from 1 species
AUUGAACGCUGGCGGCAUGCCUAACACAUGCAAGUCGAACGGCAGCACGGCAGUAGCAAUACUGUGGGUGGCGAGUGGCGGACGGGUGAGGAAUACGUCGGAAUCUGCCCAGUCGUGGGGGAUAACGUAGCCGAAAGGUUAGCUAAUACCGCAUACGACCGAGAGGUGAAAGCGGGGGACCGCAAGGCCUCGCGCGAUUGGAUGAGCCGACGUCGGAUUAGCUAGUUGGUGGGUAAAGGCCACCAAGGCGACGAUCCGUAGCUGGUCUGAGAGGAUGAUCAGCCACACUGGAACUGAGACACGGUCCAGACUCCUACGGGAGGCAGCAGUGGGGAAUAUUGGACAAUGGGCGCAAGCCUGAUCCAGCAAUGCCGCGUGUGUGAAGAAGGCCUCGG